GACGAACGCUGGCGGCGUGCUUAACACAUGCAAGUCGAACGGAAAGGCCCUGCUUUUGUGGGGUGCUCGAGUGGCGAACGGGUGAGUAACACGUGAGUAACCUGCCCUUGACUUUGGGAUAACUUCAGGAAACUGGGGCUAAUACCGGAUAGGAGCUCCUGCUGCAUGGUGGGGGUUGGAAAGUUUCGGCGGUUGGGGAUGGACUCGCGGCUUAUCAGCUUGUUGGUGGGGUAGUGGCUUACCAAGGCUUUGACGGGUAGCCGGCCUGAGAGGGUGGCCGGCCACAUUGGGACUGAGAUACGGCCCAGACUCCUACGGGAGGCAGCAGUGGGGAAUAUUGCACAAUGGGCGGAAGCCUGAUGCAGCAACGCCGCGUGCGGGAUGACGGCCUUCGGGUUGUAAACCGCUUUCGCCUGCGACGAAGCGUGAGUGACGGUAAUGGGUAAAGAAGCACCGGCUAACUACGUG
rnacentral:rRNA from 1 species